AACGACUCUCGGCAACGGAUAUCUCGGCUCACGCAUCGAUGAAGAACGUAGCAAAAUGCGAUACUUGGUGUGAAUUGCAGAAUCCCGUGAACCAUCGAGUUUUUGAACGCAAGUUGCGCCCAAAGCCAUCCGGCUGAGGGCACGUCUGCCUGGGCGUCACGCA
rnacentral:rRNA from 1 species